GACGAACGCUGGCGGCGUGCUUAACACAUGCAAGUCGAACGGAAAGGCCCUGCUUUUGUGGGGUGCUCGAGUGGCGAACGGGUGAGUAUCACGUGAGUAACCUGCCCUUGACUUUGGGAUAACUUCAGGAAACUGGGGCUAAUACCGGAUAGGAGCUCCUGCUGCAUGGUGGGGGUUGGAAAGUUUCGGCGGUUGGGGAUGGACUCGAGGUUUAUCAGCUUGUUGGUGGGGUAGUGGCUUACAAAGGCUUUGACGGGUAGCCGGCCUGGGAGGGUGACCGGCCACAUUGGGCCUGGGGUACGGCCCAUACUCCUACGGGGGGCAGCAGUGGGGAAUAUUGCACAAUGGGCGGAAGCCUGAUGCAGCAACGCCGCGUGCGGGAUGACGGCCUUCGGGUUGUAACCCGCUUUCGCCUGUGAAGCAGCGUGAGUGACGGUAAUGGGUCAAGAAGCACCGGCUAACUACGUG
rnacentral:rRNA from 1 species